UAUUACCUAGAAGAUAAGGUUAGUCUUUUGAAUAAACCUACUAAAUAAACGAUUGGGAAUUUAAUUGAUAGGUUGUGUUGAAUACUUAUUUUAUAUAAGGAUCCUAAAAUUUAUCAUGUAAUGCCCACCUGGAUGCGCAGGUUUUAUCGUUUGUGACGACCUAUCUUUCGGGCUUUUU
rnacentral:other from 1 species